rnacentral:rRNA from 1 species
GGGCUAGCGUUGCUCGGAAUCACUGGGCGUAAAGGGUGCGUAGGCGGGCCUUUAAGUCAGGGGUGAAAUCCUGGAGCUCAACUCCAGAACUGCCUUUGAUACUGAAGAUCUUGAGUUCGGGAGAGGUGAGUGGAACUGCGAGUGUAGAGGUGAAAUUCGUAGAUAUUCGCAAGAACACCAGUGGCGAAGGCGGCUCACUGGCCCGAUACUGACGCUAAGGCACGAAAGCGUGGGGAGCAAACAGG